rnacentral:tRNA from 1 species
UUCCUAGUGGCUCAGUGGUGAAGAAAGUGCCUGCAAUGCUGGAGACCCAGGUUUGAUCCCUGGCUUGGAAA